rnacentral:rRNA from 1 species
GACGGAGGAUGCAAGUGUUAUCCGGAAUCACUGGGCGUAAAGCGUCUGUAGGUGGUCAAAUAAGUCAACUGUUAAAUCUUGAGGCUCAACUUCAAAAUCGCAGUCGAAAACUAUUGGACUCGAGUAUAGUAGGGGUAAAGGGAAUUUCCAGUGGAGCGGUGAAAUGCGUAGAGAUUGGAAAAGAACACCAAUGGCGAAAGCACUUUACUGGGCUAUUACUGACACUGAGAGACGAAAGCUAGGGUAGCAAAUGGG